rnacentral:lncRNA from 1 species
CACUAUAGUAAAGUAUGACAUAGUACAGAAUAGUAGAUUAUAGUACAGUAUCAUAAAGUACAGUAUCUGUACAGCAUGGUAUGUUUGCAGUAUAGUACAGCAUAGUCCAGUAUGUUUACAUUUAAGUCAUUUAGCAGACGCUCUUAUCCAGAGCGACUUACAGUAGUGAAUGUAUACAUUUCAUUAAAAAAAUUCCUGUGCUGGUGCCCACGGGAAUCGAACCCACAACCCUGGUGUUGCAAACACCAUGCUCUACCAACUGAGCUACAGGGAAGGCUGUAUAGGGAAGGCUUUACAGUAUAGUACAAUAUAGAGUAGUACAGUACAGUAUAGAACAGUACAGUUUAGUAAAGUAUAGUACAGUAUGUGUACAGUAUACAGUACCUCUCCCAAUAUGAAGCUAACUCAAUAUGUUAGCUUAAUUUCUUUCAACAGGGCUGGGGGUUGAAACAGGGAUGCAGCUUAAGCCGCAUGUUUUUCAACAUAUAUAUCGACGAAUUGGCGAGGGCACUAGAACAGUCUGUAGCACCCGGCCUCACCCUACUAGAAUCUGAUGUCAAAUGUCUACUGUUUGCUGAUGAUCUGGUGCUUCUGUCCCCAACCAAGGAGGGCCUACAGCAGCACCUAGAUCUUCUGCACAGAUUCUGUCAGACUUGGGCCCUGACAGUAAAUCUCAGUAAGACAAAAAUAAUGGUGUUCCAAAAAGGUCAAUUUCCCAGGACCACAAAUACUAAUUCCAUCUAGACACCGUUGCCCUAGAGCACACACACAAAACACUAUACAUACCUCGGCCUAAACAUCAACACCACAGGUAACUUCUACAAAGAUGUGAACGAUCUGAGAGACAAGGCAAGAAGGGCCUCCUAUGCCAUCAAAAGGUAAAUAAAAUUCGACAUACCAAUUAGGAUCUGGCUAUAAAUACUUGAAUCAGUUAUAGAACCCAUUGCCCUUUAUGGUUGUGAGGUCUGGGGUCCGCUCACCAACCAAGAAUUCACAAAAUGGGACAAACACCAAAUUGAGAAUUCUGUAAAAAUAUCCUCCGUGUACAACCAAAUCACCAAAUAAUGCAGAAUUAGGCUGACACCCGCUAAUUAUCAAAAUCCAGAAAAGAGCCGUUAAAUUCUACAACCACCUAAAAGGAAGCGAUUCCCAAACCUUCCAUAACAAAGCCAUCACCUACAGAGAGAUGAACCUGGAGAAGAGUCUCCUAAGCAAGCUGGUCCUGGGGCUCUGUUCACAAACACAAACAGGCCCCAGGGAGACUCAAUUAGACAACCAAAUUAUGAGAAAACAAAAAGAUAAUUACUUGACAUAUUGGAAAGAAUUUACCAAAAUGUUGUAAAUGGUGUGUCUUCAACGGAAUUCAAACACAUACCCUCACAUCCCUGAAUGUUUCAUAGUUCCCUACUCUACCUGGUAAACUACCAGUCAGAUAAAACGUUUAGUACAAAAUCCUAACUAUAUUUGCAAGUACAGUGUCUGUGUUUGAAAGCAGCUUGGAAUCAAAGAAAGCACUGGAACCACGGCGAAAUUGGUAGGACCUCACACGGUUUGAAAAACACGUAAUCAAACGAAGCUUCGGACGUCAUUGAUGGGGUACUUCUGAUAACGUGAUACACGCUUCGGCACACUGGUUCCAAGUUAGCUGCUUAGCGAUUUCAAAGCAUACCUCGAGGUUCUGGUAUCAAACCUAACAUCACUACAGUCCAAUGAACUGUCGGCGUUCAGCAGUGAAAACUCCUUUGAGUCUGCUGGGGACUCGCGUGCUAUUAAGUGUAUAAUUUGCAACGUGUUCGUAGUUGUCACGGGGAAAGGUCCGAUGGAGACCUUAAUUUGUAAAAAAUAUAUUCAACUUGAUGCAACUAAAGAAAGGAGUAUUACUCUUCAUGAAGAAAUACAACAUUUGACCAAGCGUCUUGAACUGAAUAAGGAUUCUAUGAUAUGGGCAUCUUUAAAUGCUUCCAAGAGGAUCAUAAAGGGACUUCCUGGACUACGAUCAAUUUCCCACUCUUCCAAGAGGACCAUAAAGAGACUUCCUGGACUACGAUCAAUUUCCCACUCUUCCAAGAGGACCAUAAAGAGACUUCCUGGACUACGAUCAAUUUACCAUGCUUCCAAGAGGACCAUAAAGGGACUUCCUGGACUAUAAUCAAUUUCCCAUGCUUCCAAGAGGACUUCCUGGACUAUAAUCAAUUUCCCCCCUGCACCCCUCUACUAGCUUCAACCAGCUGCUCAUUGUUCCACUCCAGGAAAUGGCUGGUCAUUGUUCCACUCCAGGAAAUGGCUGCUCAUUGUUCCACUCCAGGAAAUGGCUGCUCAUUGUUCCACUCCAGGAAAUGGCUGCUCAUUGUUCCACUCCAGGAAAUGGCUGCUCAUUGUUCCACUCCAGGAAAUGGCUGCUCAUUGUUCCACUCCAGGUGAGCAUAAAUGGAUGCAUGUAGGAAACCAGAAAGAAAGAGAAGAAUCGUUCUCGGCCCACCAGCCUUCUUCCCACUGCAUCCGGACUUUCAAAUUGCUUUGAGCCCCUGUACCAGGUGUCCUCUGCUGGAGACGUGGGUGUUCCCUCCAUGGCUGUGGAUGACCCUCCAGCUACUUCUCCCUGUCCUAGUCAAUCAUCUGCCUGGGCACAGCCUGGACCACUGCAGCCCCCCUCCUCUGGAUCAGGGCUCUCUGGAUCAGGGCUCUGAUCCAUGGCUGAUACUGUCAUGGUUUAUGUGGGGUUGUCACAUCCUGACCAUAGAGAGCUCUUAUUUUCUAUGGUAGAUUAGGUCAGGGCGUGACCGGGGUUUUUUCUAGUUAUUAUUUUCAAUGUGAGGUUCUAGUUUAGUUUUUCGAUGUUUUGGUGAUUUGCAUGAUUCCCAAUUAGAGGCAGCUGGUUAUUGUUGUCUCUAAUUGGGGAUCAUACUUAAGUAGAUUUUUUUUUCUCCACAUGUGGGUUAUGGGAUAUUGUUUAUGUUUAGUUGCCUGUUAGCACUGCAUUGUCGUCACGGUUCGUUUAUUAUUUUGUAUUUUGUUGAGUUUCACUUUUUAAUAAGUUAUGUGGAACGCUUACUCACGCUGCGCCUUGGUCCGAUCAUUCCAACGAACGUGACAGGGGUCAGAUUAUAUUAUGAAGGGAAAAAAGCUGAAGAUGGAUUUUAAAGAAUUUGAUUGGGUCACUAAUUGACACCAACUCCAUAAUAUCUGUCCCUCUGUCCUCCCGUAAAUCGUGGCAUUGAACGGUUCAGCAGACUGUUAGCCCUCCAUAACUGGCUACUCUGCGGGUGGAACAUUUAUUGACAAUUCUGACACCUUCUGGAAACAAAGCUCGUUUUAUUAGGAGGACGGGAUCCACCCAAAUCAUUUGGGUUCCUGGAUCCUUUUCACAGCACUAUAAGGCUGCGUUGAGACAAUGACUUAACAAUCAAAUCAAAGUUACAGGCUCUAACCAAUAGUGCAAAAAAUAUAUUAGGUGAACAAUAGGUUGGUAAAGAAAUAAAACAGUAAAAAGACAGGCUAUAUACAGUGGAGAGGCUAUAAAAGUAGUGAGGCUACAUACAGACACCGGUUAGUCAGGCUGAUUGAGGUAGUAUGUACAUAUGGUUAAAGUGACUAUGCAUGUAUGAUGAACAGAGAGUAGCAGUAGCAUAAAAGAGGGGUUGGUGGGUGGUGGGACACAAUGCAGAUAGCCCAGUUAGCCAAUGUGCGGGAGCACUGGCUAGUCGGCCCAAUUGAGUUAGCAUGUACAUGAAUGUAUAAUUAAAGUGACUAUGCAUAUAUGAUAAACAGAGAGUAGCAGCAGCGUAAAGAAAGGGGUUGGGGGCACACAAUGCAAAUAGUCCGGAAAGCCAUUUGAUUACCUGUUCAGGAGUCUUAUGGCUUGGGGGUAAAAACUGUUGAGAAGCCUUUUUUUGUCCUAGACUUGGCACUCCGGUACUGCUUGCCAUGCGGUAGUAGAGAGAACAGUCUAUGACUGGGGUGGCUCGGGUCUUUGACAAUUUUUAGGACCUUCCUCUGACACCGCCUGGUGUAGAGAUCCUGGUUGGCAGGCAGCUUAACCCCAGUGAUGUACUGGGCCGUACGCACUACCCUCUGUAGUGCCUUGCGGUCAGAGGCCGAGCAAUUGCCGUACCAGGCAGUGAUGCAACCAGUCAGGGUGCUCUCGAUGUUGCCAAUGACCCAAAUCCAGCUCAGUUAAUCCCUACCAUUGUGUCGCUGAGUUGUCAUAAUGCUUCAGCAAAUGUAAAUUAUCCCAGGGGUGUUGGAAGACACAAUGUAAGUAACCUAAUUUAUGUCCCUCUAACUGCCCUGAAUGCCUCUGCUGAUCCUACAGCUAUUGUAGGCAGUAAUCAUGUGCCUAUGACCCAGAGUUAUACUGUUAAGCCGGUGUGCCCUAGUAGGAAGUCCACUGCGUGCAUCUCACACUAAUAUAAAUAACCUGAGCAUGUCUACUUCUGCUAAGCUUCCCAGUAAAGCAAUAAAAACAAGCAAGCAUCCCAGAAAAGUGUUAAAAAUAUCCCACGGUAACAUAUAUAGCUUAAGAAACAAGGUUCAUGAAAUCAAUAAUUUACUAGUAACAGAUGACAUUCAUAUUCUGACUAUCUCUGAAACGUUCUUAGAUAAAACCUUUGAUGAUACAGUGGUAGCAAUACAAGGUUAUAACAUCUACAGAAAAGACAGAAAUGCCAAUGGUGGAGGUGUUGCUGUUUUAUAUUCAGAACCACAUUCCUGUAAAGAUUAGAGAGGAUCUCAUGUUAAAUACUGUUGAAGUAAUAUGGCUACAGGUUCAUCUGCCUCACCUAAAGCCCAUUCUGGUGGGAAGCUGCUAUAGACCACCAAGUGCUAACAGUCAGUAUCUGGAUAAUGUUAAAUAAUGUUAAAUACUGUUGAAGUAAUAUGGCUACAGGUUCAUCUGCCUCACCUGAAGCCCAUUCUGGUGGGAAGCUGCUAUAGACCACCAAGUGAUAACAGUCAGUAUCUGGAUAAUAGGUGAAAUGCUUGAUAAUGUAUGUGAUAUCAACAGAGAGGUAUAUUUUCUGGGUGAUUUAAUAAUUGACUGGCUCUCAUCAAGCUGCCCACUCAAGACAAAGCUUCAAACUGUAACUAGUGCCUGCAACCUGGUUCAGGUUAUCAGCCAACCUACCAGGGUAGUUACAAACAGUACAGGAAUGAAAUCAUCAACAUGUAUUGAUCACAUCUUUACUAAUGCUGCAGAAAUUUGCUUUAAAGCAGUAUCCAAAUCCAUAGGAUGUAGUGAUCACAAUAUAGUAGCCAUAUCUAGGAAAACCAAAGUUCCAAAGGCUGGGCCUAAUAUAGUGUAUAAGAGGUCAUCCAAGAAGUUUUGUAGUGAUUCAUAUGUUGAUGAUGUAAAGAAUAUUUGCUGGUCUGUGGUGAGUAAUGAGGAGCAACCAGACGCUGCACUUGAGACAUUUAUGAAAUUGCUUAUUCCAGUUACUAAUAAGCACCUAUUAAGAAAAUGACUGUAAAACUGUUAAAUCCCCGUGGAUUGAUGAGGAAUUAAAACAUUAUAUGGUUGUAGAGGGAUGAGGCAAAGGGAAUGGCAAAUAGGUCUGGCUGAACAACCGAUUGGCAAACGUACUGCAAAUAGAGAAAUCAUGUGACUAAAUUAAAUGAAAAGAAACUACACUAAGAAACAAAGAUUAAAUAUCAUUAAAUUAUAUAAAAAAUGAGUAAAAAGCUUAAAUUAAAUUUUGGGCAAAAAAUCUCAGCUCCAUCAUUCAUUGAAUCAGAUGCUCGUUCAUCACAAAACCCACUGAUAUUGGCAACUACUUUAAUGAUUUUUUUCAUUGGCAAGAUUAGCUAUUUAGGCGUGACAUGCCAGCAACAAACGCUGACACUACACAUCCAAGUAUAUCUGACGAAAUUGUGAAAGACAAGAAUUGUAAUUUUGAAUUCCUUAAAGAGGUGAAAAAAGUAUUGUUGCCUAUCAACAAUAACAAGACACCAGGAUCUGACAAUCUGGAUGGAAAUUUACUGAGGAUAAUAGUGGAUGAUAUUGCCACUCCUAUUUGCCACAUCUUCAAUUUAAGCCUAGGCAGGCGGGAGAGUAGUCCAGAGUCAGGCAGGGGUCAAAACCAGGAAGACUAUCAAAAAGAGAAUAGCAAAAGGAGUACAGGAAGAACACGCUGGUUGACUAACAUACAAGACAAACUAGCACAGAGAGACAGGAAACACAGGGAUAAAUACACUGGCACAGAGAGACUGGAAACACAGGGAUAAAUACACUGGCACAGAGAGACAGGAAACACAGGGAUAAAUACACUGGCACAGAGAGACAGGAAACACAGGGAUAAAUACACUGGCACAGAGAGACAGGAAACACAGGGAUAAAUACACUGGGGCAGAGAGACAGGAAACACAGGGAUAAAUACACUGGGGCAGAGAGACAGGAAACACAGGGAUGAAUACACUGGGGAAAAUAAGCCACACCUGGAGGAGGUGGAGACAAUCACAGGAACAGGUGAAACAGAUCAGGGCGUGACAGUGUUCCCUCAGGCCUGGAGGGAAGCUAAAGUUAUUCCCCUACCUAAGACUAGUAAAGACCCCUUUAAUGGCUCAAAUAGCCGACCAAUCAGAGUGUCUAUGUAUGCAGAUGACUCAACACUAGACACGUCAGCUACUACAGAGACUGAAAUCACUGCAACACUCAACAAAGAGCUGCUGUCAGUUUCAGAAUGGGUGGCAAGGAAUAAGUUAGCCCUAAAUAUUUCUAAAACUAAAAGCAUUGUAUUUUGGGACAAAUCAUUCACUAAACUUUAAACCUCAACUAAAUCUUGCAAUAAAUAAUGUGGAAAUUGAGCAAGUUGAGGUGACUAAACUGCUUUGAGUUACCCUGGAUUGUAAACUGUCCUGGUCAAAACAUAAUGAUACAACAGUAGCUAAGAUGGGGAGAAGUCUGUCCAUAAUAAAGCUCUGCUCUGCCUUCUUAACAACACUAUCAACAAGGCAGGUCCUACAGGCCCUAGUUUCUACCUUCUUAACAACACUAUCAACAAGGCAGGUCCUACAGGCCCUAGUUUUGUCACACCUGGACUACUGUUCAGUCAUGUGGUCAGGUGCCACAAAGAGGGACUAAGGAAAAUUGCAAUAGGCUCAGAACAGGGCAGCACAGUUGGCCCUUGGAUGAACACAGAGAGCUAAUAUUAAUAAUAUGCAUGUCAAUCUCUCCUGGCUGAAAGUGGAGCAGAGAUUGACUUCAUGACUACUUGUAUUUAUGAGAGGUAUUGACAUGUUGAAUGCACCGAGCUGUCUGUCUAAACUACUGGCACACAGCUCAGACACCCAUCCAUACCCCACAAGACAUGCCACCAGAGGUCUGUUUAAACUACUGGCACACAGCUCAGACACCCAUCCAUACCCCACAAGACAUGCCACCAGAGGUCUCUUCACAGUCCCCAGGUCCAGAACAGACUAUGGGAGGCCCACAGUACUAUAUAGAGCCAUGACUACAUGGAACUCUAUUCCACAUCAGGUAACUCAUGCAAAAGCAACACAUACAUAGGCACAGACACAUGCAUGAUAACAUACACACUAUACCCACACGUACACAUGGAUUUUGUGUUGUAGAAUAGGGGCCUGAAUGGGUUGUAAUGUUUUUAAAAUUGUAUAACUGCUUUCAUUUAGCUGGACUCCAGGAAGAGUAGCUGCUGCCUCGGCAGGAACUAACGGGGAUCCAUAAUAAAUGCAAAUACAUGCUCCCUUGUAAUUACAGUAAAAUUCCCCCCCC